UCAACCUUAGAGGCAUCAAUUCUUUUUCCAAAUUUUUUUUUUCAAAAAGACUGUCCUAAGGCUGACAAAUAUUUUUUGUUCAUAAGUAAGAUAGAAAUAAUACCCCUUAGUUUCAUUGGGAUAUCCUAUAAAAAUAUAUUUAUCAGAUCUAGCUUCAAGUUUGUUCAUUUUUAAAUGUUUGACAUAAGCUGGACACCCCCAAA
rnacentral:lncRNA from 1 species